AACAAACUAUUAGAAGUCAGAUCUGGCAGUAUGUAGAAAGUGGUUUUAUUACAGGGAUGGCAGUGUUGGUUCAGCAUUGGAAGAUCCACCCCCAAAAGUCAUCAUUUUAACAGAGGAAAGGAAGAAGCCAUAUGAUCCUGUCAGUAGUUAGAGAAAAGGUAUUGGACUAAAUUCUACAGCUGAUCAUGGUAAAAGCUAUCAGGAGACUAGAAAUAGAACAGAACCUUCUCAACAGAUCAAAGACAUGUACUCCAUACUUCCAGCAAAAACACCUUAUAUGAACGGAGAAGAUACAAUGCUUUCUCCUUAAGGUGAGAAACAAGGGCAGAUAUGCCUACUCUUCAUCUGUCCAUUAAACUUUGAAACCUAGGCCUCACCAAAAUAGUCUGGCAAUAGGAUGACACAAUUAGGAUAGGAUUGGCAAGGGAGAAGUGAAAUCUUUAUAUGUAGAUGAAAUGAUCAUCUACAGAGAAAAUACUAAGAAAUCUCUAGGAGCCCCUAGAACUUGUAUUUGAAUUUAGCAGGAUUAGAAAACACAAGGUAUAUAUAAAAAUUCAGGUCUGUGUAUACUUGCUAUAAAUGAAGAAUUGGAUAUUGAAAUUUAAAAGUUAUGUAGGAGUACAAAGGACCUAGAAAAGUAAUUUAAAAACCACAAAAAAACAGUGUUGGAAGACGUUUAGUACCUAGUUUUAAGACUUCUUCUAAAGCUACAGUAAUCAAGGCAGUGUUGGUGUAAGGAAAGACAUAUAGAUCAUUGGAAUAAAACAGAGAAUCUUGAAAUAGAACCACACAUAUAUGGUCCACUGAGUUUUGAAAGAUUAUUUAACAUUAACAUUUUAUAGAAUAUAAACUCAAGAGCUGAGGAAAAGAUAGGGUUUUCAGUAAAUGGUACUAGAACACCUGGUAUCCAUAUAUAAAAAACCUCAACCCUUUCUUUCCAUACAUAAAAAUAACUUGAAAGGAUCUAUGAACCUAAAUAUGAAAGCCUAAAAGUAUUUUAAGAAGAAACUGUAAGGGAACAUGUUUAUGAAUUUAGGGUAGGCAAGAAUUUCCUAGGAUAUAAAAAACAUGAUGUAUAAAAGAAAAAAAUUGAUAAAUGAGAUUCCAUCAAAAUUUAGAACUUUAAAUGACAUCGUUAAGAAAAUGAAAAGCAGUCCUUUAACAGACCAUAUUUAUAAUGCAUAUAACCUAUGGCCAAGACUGGUUACUGCCAGAGUUGAUCCAAGAAGGUCCUGGGGAUUGAGUCCAGGACCUUGUGCACACAAAGCACAGAGCCUACCUCUGAGCUAUACCCCCGGCCACCAACAUGAGUGUGACUCACUGCAGCCAAGUAAAUUAAUGUAUCCAGCACUUCACAUGGGCACCUUUCUUUCUGUGCUAUAAGCAUUCAGAUGAAAACCACCUAAAGUAUAAUGGACUCCCCCAUGGAACUUCCUGGAGAACAUACAGAGAAGUUAAAUGUGACCUACAUUUAUUCUGUGGGAUUUGAGGAGAUUCAACCCAGGGAGCACUGAGCUAUAUUCCUAGCCCUUUAAAAAUUUUUAUUUUGAAGCAUUGUCCCACUAACUCACACAGGCUAUCCUCAAACUUGCAAUCCUCCUGCCUCAGCCUCUCAGGUAGCUGGGAUUACAGUCACAUAGGGUUCUUAGGAGGCCUUUGGCCCCUAGAGAUAUUAAACUGGAACAAACCAGACUUAACCUGAGUUAGAAUUGUGGCUCUGCUGCUCCCAGCAGACAAGAGGAGUCCUCUGGGCCGCCAUACUACCCCCACUAGCACACAGGAGGUGAGCUGCUCCCAGCGCCCAUGCAGAUGAUUUGCGAAGUGUUUAUACAUGCAAAAUAAGGGAGCGAUCAAACACAGACUGAUUCAGACACAUAACCUAUUCGCCUCCAGUUUCUUCCUUGAGCUGUGUUGGGUUGUUUUGAAAUGUUAGUUGGCUGAAAAAGUCUUAAUUUCUCCAUUUUUAAUUUAAAAGGCUAUUCUAUAUAAAGUAAAGGGGCACAGCCCUUCUGAUUAAAUUAACAGGAGCAGGCAGCCAGUGAUUGGAUCACGUAGGUGAGUUAUAAUUGGCUUUGUUUCAUAAUCAAUUUACCUUUUGUACCAGUGAAAAAAAGCCUAUGUAGCUUUCCCCUAAGAGGAUCUGUUGGUCGGAAUGGUUUUAAUGGGAUUUAGAAGCCAAGUUUUAUCACUAAUUGGUGAACAGAGAUACUGGUUUUGAAAUGCUCAUCAGAGUUUGGUGGUACAAAGCCAGCAGCAGACUUGGUUCCUAAGGUCUUGGUAGAAACAUGAAUUCUGAGCUGGGUAUAGUGGCUCAUGCCUGUAAUCCCAGCGCUGGGGAGGCUGAGGCAGGAGAAUUGCCAUGAGUUUGAGGCCAGCCUAGACUGUACAGUGAGUUUGAGCCCAGCUUGAACUAUAUAGGGAGACCCUGUCUCAAAAAAAAAAAAAAAAAUAGAAACUAAAUUCUCAGGGUACCUAAGAUAUUUUUAGUCUGUGCUGGCUUACCUGUGGCCUAAGAAUCUGUCCUUUUAAAAGAUUUUUUUUUUUUUUUUUGGUACGGGGAUCAAACUUGGCUCCUUGCGCUUGCGCAGCAGGUAGCGAAACCACUGAGCUAAAUCCCCAGCCCUUAAAAGAUUUUUUGAUGCGUAACCAGGUUUAGUCAGUACUAAAUCGAAUAUUCAAUUUGGAGGUGCCAGCCUUUUGGCCUUGCUUAUUUGAUAGAUCUCAAUGUUUAUUUGAAGCUUUUGUUGAAAGUGAGUGUUGAUGGGUCAUUGCCGACUUUCUUUCAAUUCAUAAUUUGUUUCAAGUUGUAUUACUGCAUAGAUUUGCAUACCUGUUUAUGGUAUUUAAAUGCUGUUGGUUUAAAAGAAAUACCAUUUCCUCUGAGUGCUGUUUUGAAUGUUUUGGGUAAGCAAUUUCAUGUGUUCUUUUUUUUCUACUUGCAGAAAAAGCAGGGAAAAACUUGAGAGUUGUUCUAAUUCACUUGCAGUAGGACAAAGGAUAUAAGUAAAGAGCAUCCAAUAAAAGGCAUGAAAAAAGCAGUAAAAAAUCUCCUACACCGAAAUGGGGUACACGAAUAUGUGCUUGUAAAGCGGAGCUCAGGUUACUGCACAACGGGAGAGUGUUUUUCUGAUGUCAUUGACUGAAGAUGUACAAGGUCUCUUUUACAGAUUGGAUCUUCAGACUUCUGGAAGGACUUCAUCCCACCUCACGGCCGACGGUUCCUGUCACCCAGUAGAUGCUGUAUCCUGUUUCCUGGUAAUCCUUGACUGCCUACUGAUGUGGGAGUGGAGAGCCAUUAAAGAGCCAAGGAAGCGUCUCUUGUGUACUUAGGUAGGGCUUGUCAACAAGGGCCUCAUUGUAGGGUAAUGCUUGGGUCCUUGAGGGAACCUCCCCUUCCCCCUUGUCUGUAGCAGAGUUUCUGGGAAGACCAGAGCAACAUGCUUUUAUUCACUCUACCAUCUUUAAGUAGAUACAACUCAUGCUAUUUGCAAAUGGAAUGCAUCCAUCCUUUUUCGAAUUUUAUGGCUAGUACAUAGACCUGAUGUUCUAAAGUAGGGCUAUACUGCACUAGAGAGCUUUCUUUUUCUCUCUGAAUAUUAGAUAAACACUUCACUUUGGUGUUCUUGCUUAUUUAAGGC
ensembl:lncRNA